rnacentral:rRNA from 1 species
GACGAACGCUGGCGGCGUGCCUAAUACAUGCAAGUAGGACGCAGUUGCGAACGGGUGAGUAACGCGUAGGUUAUUACCUAUUAGAGGGGGAUAACUAUUGGAAACGAUAGCUAAUACCGCAUACUAGCAGAUUGACCUGCGUUGUAUUAGCUAGUAGGUAGGGUAAUGGCCUGUCUAGGCAACGAUACAUAUCCGACCUGGGUGGGUGAUCGGCCACCCUGGGACGGGGAAACGGCCCAGACUCCUACGGGAGGCAGCAGUAGGGAAUCUUCGGCAAGGGGGGGAACCCUGACCGAGCAACGCCGCGUGAGUGAAGAAGGUUUUCGGAUCGUAAAGCUCUGUUGUUAAGGAAGCGGUACUUAACCAGAAAGGGACGGCUAACUACGUGCCAGCAGCCGCGGUAAUUC